rnacentral:rRNA from 1 species
GCGUGCUUAACACAUGCAAGUCGAACGGAAAGGCCCCUUUGGGGGUACUCGAGUGGCGAACGGGUGAGUAACACGUGAGUAACCUGCCCUUGACUUCGGGAUAACUUCAGGAAACUGGGGCUAAUACCGGAUAGGAAUCCUUGCUGCAUGGUGGGGGUUGGAAAGCUUCGGCGGUUUUGGAUGGACUCGCGGCUUAUCAGCUUGUUGGUGGGGUAGUGGCUUACCAAGGCUUUGACGGGUAGCCGGCCUGAGAGGGCGACCGGCCACAUUGGGACUGAGAUACGGCCCAGACUCCUACGGGAGGCAGCAGUGGGGAAUAUUGCACAAUGGGCGGAAGCCUGAUGCAGCAACGCCGCGUGCGGGAUGACGGCCUUCGGGUUGUAAACCGCUUUCAGCAGGGGCGAAGCUUGUGGUGACGGUACCUGCAGAAGAAGCACCGGCUAACUACGUGCCAGCAGCCGCGGUGAUACGUAGGGUGCGAGCGUUGUCCGGAUUUAUUGGGCGUAAAGAGCUCGUAGGUGGUUGAUUGCGUCGGAAGUGAAAACUUGGGGCUUAACCCUGAGCGUGCUUUCGAUACGGGUUGACUUGAGGAAGGUAGGGGAGAAUGGAAUUCCUGGUGGAGCGGUGGAAUGCGCAGAUAUCAGGAGGAACACCAGUGGCGAAGGCGGUUCUCUGGACCUUUCCUGACGCUGAGGAGCGAAAGCGUGGGGAGCGAACAGG